rnacentral:rRNA from 1 species
CCCUUAGAUGUUCUGGGCCGCACGCGCGCUACACUGAUGCAUUCAACGAGCCUAUCCUUGACCGACAGGUCCGGGUAAUCUUUGAAUCUGCAUCGUGACGGGGAUAGAUUAUUGCAAUUAUUAAUCUUCAACGAGGAAUGCCUAGUAGGCGCAAGUCAUCAGCUUGCGUCGAUUACGUCCCUGCCCUUUGUACACACCGCCCGUCGCUCCUACCGAUUGGGUGUGCUGGUGAAAUGUUCGGAUCGGCCGUUGUCGCGGUUUCCGCGUCAUGUGGCUGAGAAGUUCAUUAAACCCUCCCACCUAGAGGAAGGAGAAGUCGUAACA